AUAAAAUGGCUUGCGCUGUGGCUUCCGCCCUCCAUUUGCUCUUCUCGGCCCGAUGCGCACAUAUUGUUCGCCCUGGAAGUCAUGUCCGAGCCGACCGGUCACGAAAGGCCUGGCUUGGUGCACGGCAUGGCCUACUCAUCGUGGCUGCUGCGGCGUCGCGAUUCUGGCUGAAUAAUGAGUAUCAAGGGCUUCCACAGUACUGCAAGCAAGGAGGGAGUUUUCCCCAUCGCAAUGCUACAAUUGUGUCAACAGUAUUUUGGAACUUCUGCCAAUAGCCUGCAGUCUUGGAGGCUUAUAGAAGACACAAACACUGAGCUUCUGGUGCUGUCAAAUUGCAGCAACUGAUGUUCGGAAUGGACUUCAUCCUGUUCCACACUGAUGCAUGGUACACAUCUCAAACCUGGAGGCUCUGCAAGUCUGGGUGAGUGCUUUUGCACAGUGCAAUUUCGUCUUGGCUUUCACUGAUGAUUACCCUCCAAUACUUAUGUUUAUGAGGACCUUCACCAAGAUCUCUGAGAUGCCCUUAGGCUUGCUUAAUUGGCUUGCCCUUUUCUUUGUUAUUCAGAUUUACUUUUUCAUUUUAGGUUGAUGUGCAAGCAGUAGAGUCCUGCCACAUUCAUUGGUAAGUUUAUAGUAUGGAGGUUUGCAGUGAUUCAUUUAGGGUUUCAGUUGGAGUGGUGCAAAAGAUGGGGACUGCCCUCCCUUCUGCAGUGUUUCAAAUUAAAGGGACACUUCAAAUCGCAAUGCAUACAUUUCCUUAAAAUUUGUUCCAUUUGGUGGAAAAUUCAUGAAAGAUAAAAGCGAGUUUAAAUUAUUCAAUACCGUGCUAGAACUAGUACAGUGGGCUCAAGUGACAAACUUUCUGGGUUGAGUGGUUCCUUUCUAACACUGUUAGAUCCACUGUUACGUCUGGUGUCGUGGCUAGCCGGUGCAGGAACAGUUUGGCAUUGCCUCCCAUCUAUUGUGUACUAGCCUGCCCAGUUUGUUGGUGACCACAAUACAAUUGCUGUGUAAAUUACUAAUUCAACAAAUGUGUCCCUUUAAGGGUAAUUUUUGUCUCAUGGUGUUCACAUGAUGUUGCUUGAGUAUUUGCUACACUGAGAGAGCAAUGUGGAGAAAUGUUUUUCUGAUCAAAUUUGUGGCGCAUAUUUUUGGCAUUUCUGGUUUUAUUUUCCUUUGACAUUACUACUUAAUUUCCAGGUGCCUCCUGGACACAUGCAUUUAGGAAAGGUAUGUUCACCUUCAGUAUGUUUAAGCUUUUUUUGAAAUGAUGACAUCUAGAGAUAGGGACAGCUGAAGCCUGUGAUUGCAGUAACUCUUGCUGAACUUUAUUUCUUAAGUCAUCAAAACUCCUUCUUUUAUGUAUCAUUCAUGUGCACUUUUUACUUUUUAUGUGCAGGUAAGGAGGAUUCCGGACAUCGUGCUCGUCUAUGAAUUGAAUAAAAUAUGUAGCAACGUUGCAA